UGAUGACGUACCACAUGCUGUCUCCGGGCUUACACUGCUAGCAACGCCCCCUGUCUUGCAUGUACGCACGCUCUGAGAUGCAGCAGUUCUGAGAUUAACACCACUUUGGAAGACAUACUAAUUAAUCAAAUGGACCAAUGAGAAGUAAGCUGCAAAGAAUAUAAAAGAUCUGGAUGGCAAUGGAUACGAUCUCCCUUAGAAAAAGCUGAAAAAAGGGGAAACGUUCUCCAGAGACGCAAUUACGUCACAAGAAGGCAUUUCCCAACAUCCUCAGCAGAGAUACGCUCUUGAUACAUUUGUAGCUGGUUGCAAUACAACACAUGUGAAAACAAGUAACAAUUUGAUCCCAUUACAAGGUGUGUGACUUUUACCCCGAGUGACUUUUAAAAGAUUUUAACUGCUUUAAAGAUUGUAAUUGUUUGUGUUGAAUAAAUCAUUUAUGAAGCA